rnacentral:rRNA from 1 species
UACGGGGGGGCAAGGCGUUGUUCGGAAUUACUGGGCGUAAAGGGCUCGUAGGCGGCCAACUAAGUCAAACGUGAAAUACCCUCGCGUUAAACCUGGGAGGGUCGCCGGAAACUGGAAGUGCUCGAACGUGGGAGAGGAAAGCGGAAUUCCUGGUGUAGCGGUGAAAUGCGUAGAUAUCAGGAGGAACACCUGCGGUGAGUAGACGGCUUUCUGGGACCAUUGUUGACGCUGAGACACGAAAGCGUGGGGUAGCAAACAGG